GAUCCUGGCUCAGGAUGAACGCUGGCGGCGUGCUUAACACAUGCAAGUCGAACGAAGCAUUAAGGAUGAAGUUUCGGAUGGAUUCUUCUGACUUAGUGGCGGACGGGUGAGUAACGCGUGGGCAACCUGCCCUUAACCGGGGGACAACAGUUGGAAACGACUGCUAAUACCGCAUAAGCGCACGGGACCGCAUGGUCGAGUGUGAAAAAUUCCGGUGGUUAAGGAUGGGCCCGCGUUGGAUUAGGUAGUUGGUGAGGUAACGGCCCACCAAGCCGACGAUCCAUAGCCGACCUGAGAGGGUGACCGGCCACAUUGGGACUGAGACACGGCCCAGACUCCUACGGGAGGCAGCAGUGGGGAAUAUUGCACAAUGGGGGAAACCCUGAUGCAAGCGACGCCGCGUGAGUGAAGAAGUAUUUCGGUAUGUAAAGCUCUAUCAGCAGGGAAGAAAAUGACGGUACCUGCAUAAGAAGCCCCGGCUAACUACGUGCCAGCCGCAGC
rnacentral:rRNA from 1 species